AUUGAACGCUGGCGUCAGUCCUAACACAUUCAAGUCGAGCGGCUGACGGGAUCUUGCUCCUGUAUUCAGCGGCGGACGGUUGAUUAAUGCCUAGGAAUCUGCCUGGUAGUGUGGGUUCACGUCCGGAAACGGGCGCUAAUACCGCCUCCGUCCUGUUGGAGAAAGUGGGGGAUCUUCGGACCUCCCGCUAUCAGAUGAUCCUAGGUCGGAUUAGCUAGUUGGUGGGGUAAAGGCCUACCAAGGCGACGAUCCGUAACUGGUCUGAGAGGAUGAUCAGUCACACUGGAACUGAGACACGGUCCAGACUCCUACGGGAGGCAGCAGUGGGGAAUAUUGGACAAUGGGCGAAAGCCUGAUCCAGACAUGCCGCGUGUGUGAAGAAGGUCUUCGGAUUGUAAAGCACUUUAAGUUGGGAGGAAGGGCAGUAAGUUAAUACCUUGCUGUUUUGACGUUACCAACAGAAUAAGCACCGGCUAACUUCGUG
rnacentral:rRNA from 1 species